GAUGAACGCUGGCGGCGUGCCUAAUAAAUGCCAGUCGAGCGAAGCGGGGACGGGUGAGUAACACGUGGAUAACAUCCUAUACGACUGGGAUAACAUCGGGAAACCGGAGCUAAACCGGAUACUUCUCACUGGAUCCGCUCUGCAUUAGCUAGUUGGUAAGGUAACGGCUUACCACGGCAACGCUGCAUAGGCUGCCUGAGAGGGUGAUCGGCCACACUGCAACGUAGACACGGUCCAGAGUCCUACGGGAGGCAGCAGUAGGGAAUCUUCCGCAAUGGGCGAAAGCCUGACGGAGCAACGCCGCGUGAGUGAUGAAGGUUUUCGGAUCGUAAAACUCUUUUAUUAGGGAAGCGGUACCUAAUCAGAAAGCCACGGCUAACUACGUGCCAGCAGCCGCGGUAAUAC
rnacentral:rRNA from 1 species